rnacentral:rRNA from 1 species
AUGGAGUACAGGGUGAAGAGCCAUGGCAGCAAGCACAAGGGGUCAGGAUCAGGAUCAGGAUCCGGAGGGCUGAGCAGGAUGCUGAGGGAGCACAAGGCCAGGUUCUACAUCAUCCGCCGAUGUGUCGUCGCGCUCCUCUGCUACCACGACUAG